rnacentral:rRNA from 1 species
GAGUUUGAUCCUGGCUCAGAACGAACGCUGGCGGCGUGCUUAACACAUGCAAGUCGAACGUGAUCCGGAGCUUGCUCCGGUGAAAGUGGCGCACGGGUGAGUAUCGCGUGGAUAACCUGCCCUGGUAUCUGGGAUAACAUCUCGAAAGGGGUGCUAAUACCGGAUAAGCCCACGGACUCCUCGGAGUCUGCGGGAAAAGGUGGCCUCUAUUUAUAAGCUACCGUAUCAGGAUGGGUCCGCGUACCAUUAGCUAGUUGGUGGGGUAAUGGCCCACCAAGGCUACGAUGGUUAGCUGGUCUGAGAGGAUGAUCAGCCACACUGGAACUGAGACACGGUCCAGACUCCUACGGGAGGCAGCAGUGGGGAAUUUUGCGCAAUGGGGGAAACCCUGACGCAGCAACGCCGCGUGAGUGAUGAAGGCUUUCGGGUCGUAAAGCUCUGUCAGAGGGGAAGAAAUGAGACUGGCUAAUAUCCAGUUUUCUUGACGGUACCCUCAAAGGAAGCACCGGCUAACUCCGUGCCAGCAGCCGCGGUAAUACAAGGGCGMMYYSWGCAR